GGACCCGUAGCUCAGCUGGAUAGAGCGUCGCCCUCCGAAGGCGAAGGUCACGCGUUCGAAUCGCGUCGGGUCCA
rnacentral:tRNA from 2 species